GGGGGCUGCUCCUUAGGUCAGCGGCGGACGGGUGAGUAACACGUGGGUAACCUGCCUGUAAGACUGGGAUAACUCCGGGAAACCGGGGCUAAUACCGGAUGCUUGAUUGAACCGCAUGGUUCAAUCAUAAAAGGUGGCUUUUAGCUACCACUUACAGAUGGACCCGCGGCGCAUUAGCUAGUUGGUGAGGUAACGGCUCACCAAGGCGACGAUGCGUAGCCGACCUGAGAGGGUGAUCGGCCACACUGGGACUGAGACACGGCCCAGACUCCUACGGGAGGCAGCAGUAGGGAAUCUUCCGCAAUGGACGAAAGUCUGACGGAGCAACGCCGCGUGAGUGAUGAAGGUUUUCGGAUCGUAAAACUCUGUUGUUAGGGAAGAACAAGUACCGUUCGAAUAGGGCGGUACCUUGACGGUACCUAACCAGAAAGCCACGGCUAACUACGUGCCAGCAGCCGCGGUAAUA
rnacentral:rRNA from 1 species